rnacentral:rRNA from 1 species
CAGGCCCUACGGGACGCAGCAGUGGGGGAUAUUGCACAAUGGGCGAAAGCCUGAUGCAGCGACGCCGCGUGAGGGAAGACGGUUUUCGGAUUGUAAACCUCUGUCGAGGGGGACGAAGGAAGUGACGGUACCCCUUGAGGAAGCCACGGCUAACUACGUGCCAGCAGCCGCGGUAAUACGUAGGGGGCGAGCGUUAUCCGGAUUUACUGGGUGUAAAGGGGGCGCAGACGGCCAUGGCAAGCCCGGUGUGAAAGGUGCGGGCACAACCCGCAGACUGCACUGGUACCUGCCUGGCUGGAGGGCCG